GAUGUGAACCGAAUGUUGAUGUAAGAGGCAGGGCACUCGGCUGCGGAUGGGUAACAGGGCGUGGGCUGGCACACUUACUUGCACCAGUGCCCAGAGAGGGGGUGCAGGCUGAGGAGCUGCCCAGAGCACCGCUCACACUCCCAGAGUACCUGAAGUCGGCAUUUCAAUGACAGGGCACCUUCAGCCUGCGGAAGCUAUGGGCCUUCACGGGGCCUGGCUUCCUCAUGAGCAUUGCUUUCCUGGACCCAGGAAACAUCGAGUCAGAUCUUCAGGCUGGCGCCGUGGCGGGAUUCAAACUUCUCUGGGUGCUGCUCUGGGCCACCGUGUUGGGCUUGCUCUGCCAGCGACUGGCUGCACGUCUGGGCGUGGUGACAGGCAAGGACUUGGGCGAGGUCUGCCAUCUCUACUACCCUAAGGUGCCCCGCACCGUCCUCUGGCUGACCAUCGAGCUAGCCAUUGUGGGCUCCGACAUGCAGGAAGUCAUCGGCACGGCCAUUGCAUUCAAUCUGCUCUCAGCUGGACGAA
rnacentral:lncRNA from 1 species